AUGCUGUGGUCUCGGAGUCACGAAUUUGCCCGUCACGAUGUUCUUCCUCAAGUCGUAGCGGGCCGGGAAUCGAAUAUUUGGUGGGUUUUCUUUCCUAUAUAUGACAAGGGGAUUCUAUUUCUCCGUUCCUAUUUAACAUCGCAGCUGAAUGUUUGUCCAAAAUGGUGCGUCAAGCACAGAAACAUGGACUGA
rnacentral:rRNA from 1 species